UGGGGAAUAUUGCACAAUGGGCGCAAGCCUGAUGCAGCCAUGCCGCGUGUAUGAAGAAGGCCUUCGGGUUGUAAAGUACUUUCAGUCGGGAGGAAGGUGUCAAGGUUAAUAACCUUGGCAAUUGACGUUACCGACAGAAGAAGCACCGGCUAACUCCGUGGCAGCAGCCGCGGUAAUACGGAGGGUGCAAGCGUUAAUCGGAAUUACUGGGCGUAAAGCGCACGCAGGCGGUUGAUUGAGUCAGAUGUGAAAUCCCCGGGCUUAACCCGGGAAUUGCAUCUGAUACUGGUCAGCUAGAGUCUUGUAGAGGGGGGUAGAAUUCCAUGUGUAGCGGUGAAAUGCGUAGAGAUGUGGAGGAAUACCGGUGGCGAAGGCGGCCCCCUGGACAAAGACUGACGCUCAGGUGCGAAAGCGUGGGGAGCAAACAGG
rnacentral:rRNA from 1 species